rnacentral:rRNA from 1 species
GCCAGACUCCUACGGGAGGCAGCAGUGGGGAAUAUUGCACAAUGGGGGAAACCCUGAUGCAGCGACGCCGCGUGAGUGAAGAAGUAUUUCGGUAUGUAAAGCUCUAUCAGCAGGGAAGAAGUUGACGGUACCUGAGUAAGAAGCCCCGGCUAACUACGUGCCAGCAGCCGCGGUAAUACGUAGGGGGCAAGCGUUAUCCGGAUUUACUGGGUGUAAAGGGAGCGUGGACGGCAGUGCAAGUCUGAAGUGAAAGCCCCAGGCUUAACCCGGGAACUGCUUUGGAAACUGUACGGCUGGAGUGCUGGAGAGGUAAGCUGAAUUCCUAGUGUAGCGGUGAAAUGCGUAGAUAUUAGGAGGAACACCAGUGGCGAAGGCGGCUUACUGGACAGUAACUGACGUUGAGGCUCGAAAGCGUGGGGAUCAAACAGGAUUAGAUACCCCGGUAC